UGCUUUUUUUCCACACCGGUAAAACAAAUUUUCAUUACCAAGGCAACAAUAUUACAAAAUCCAUAUUUAAACUAAACAAAAACAUCAAACUAGCAAAUCAGACAUAUGAUCACUGAGGGAACACAUGCCUAAAACAACCCAAAAACCUCAUCCAGCCAAGGACAAGACACGCCGUCCUAACAAAGCAAUGAACACGGCAACAAAACAGCCACGGAACAGUAUCUGACCACGACAAAAAGCCUACCCGACAACAGGAGUUUCUAUCCAGCUAACUGAUGCUCUUCCUAGCCGUUAAAAGAAUCUUCUAUCUCGAGAACGGCACAAUCUGAUGCUCAUCAUGUCCACGUGCCUGUAAGUCAUGAUUGUGGAAAUAGAGCGUCGUAGAUUUCACCACCAUAGCACCUUGAAUCACCUACUCUUUGAGGCCCUCCUUGAGUAGACCU
rnacentral:lncRNA from 1 species